AUUCAAGAGGCACAUCCAUUAAACAAGGAUUGAAAC
rnacentral:other from 1 species